rnacentral:rRNA from 1 species
UACGUAGGGUGCAAGCGUUGUCCGGAAUCACUGGGCGUAAAGCGCACGUAGGCGGACUCUUAAGUCGGUGGUGAAAUCCUGGAGCUCAACUCCAGAACUGCCUUCGAUACUGAGAGUCUCGAGUCCGAGAGAGGUGAGUGGAACUGCGAGUGUAGAGGUGAAAUUCGUAGAUAUUCGCAAGAACACCAGUGGCGAAGGCGGCUCACUGGCUCGGUACUGACGCUGAGGAGCGAAAGCGUGGGGAGCGAACAGG